UUUUAGGUCUUGUCUUGAGUGUAAGACCCCCUUUUGGGGACCCCCACUCUAGUCUCGGGAGAGAGAGUGCACCCAAAGAAACACAAGAAUCC
rnacentral:pre_miRNA from 7 species